rnacentral:piRNA from 1 species
UGGUGUCUAAGACGAGUUAGCCUGCCA